rnacentral:rRNA from 1 species
GACGAACGCUGGCGGCGUGCUUAACACAUGCAAGUCGAACGGUGAUCUCGGUGCUUGCACCGGGUGAUCAGUGGCGAACGGGUGAGUAACACGUGAGCAACCUGCCCCUGACUCUGGGAUAACCCCGAGAAAUCGGAGCUAAUACCGGAUACGAGACGCACGGGCAUCCGUAGCGUCUGGAAAGAAUUUUGGUCAGGGAUGGGCUCGCGGCCUGGAUUAGCUAGUUGGUGGGGUAACGGCUCACCAAGGCGACGAUCCGUAGCUGGUUUGAGAGGACGACCAGCCACACUGGGACUGAGACACGGCCCAGACUCCUACGGGAGGCAGCAGUGGGGAAUUUUGGACAAUGGGGGAAACCCUGAUCCAGCCAUCCCGCGUGUGCGAUGAAGGCCUUCGGGUUGUAAAGCACUUUUGGCAGGAAAGAA